AUGUAGAGCAAUCUCUGUCUAAGUAGGGGUAAAUUACUCAAAAAAAAACAAAACAAAAAAAAAAACAAACAAAGAUUCGAGAUAGUUUUCCCUUCAAGUAAAGCGUCUUGU
rnacentral:pre_miRNA from 1 species